rnacentral:rRNA from 1 species
AUUGAGCGCUGGCGGCAGGCCUAACACAUGCAAGUCGAACGAGUGGCGGACGGGUGAGUAAUGUCUGGGAAACUGCCUGAUGGAGGGGGAUAACUACUGGCAACGGUAGCUAAUACCGCAUACCAUCGGAUGUGCCCAGAUGGGAUUAGCGAUUAGGUGGGGUAACGGCUCACCUAGGCGACGAUCCAUAGCUGGUCUGAGAGGAUGACGAGCCACACUGGAACUGAGACACGGGCCAGAUUCCUACGGGAGGUAGCAGUGGUGAAUAUUGCACAAUGGGCGUAAGCCUGAGGCAGCCAUGCCGCGUGUAUGAAGAAGGCCUUCGGGUUGUAAAGCACUUUCAGCGGGGAGGCGUGACCCGCAGAAGAAGGACCGGCUACCUCCGUGCCAGCAGCCGCGGUAAUUC